ncrna:unclassified sequences Glutamine riboswitch
AUCGUUCAACUCUUUACAGAGUCGGAAGUAAGCGAAAGCUGAAGGAACGCGCA